rnacentral:lncRNA from 1 species
UAGGCCCAUAUCAUUCAUUUGGACACAAUUGUCUGGAGAAUUAUUAGGCUGACCUUUGCUAUUGGGCUUAAAGCAAGUGCUGAUCACAAACUUGAAGAGGUUAGUUAAUACACACGUGACUUCUAUUUCAUUGCCUUCAUCCAACUUUAGAGUUUUCACAGUGUCUGGUUUUCGACCCAUAGUUUUUUAGCAGAAACCUGAGACUCAAAUUAACCCAUGUUCGAUAAUACUUAUGGCAGAUUGACAUAUAUUUACAAGUAUUGGUUAAUAUAGCUAAUACAGAGACCUUGAUAAUUUUUGUCAUAUAUUAAUAUUGCAAAUAUUAUACGGAAACUUUAAUUUUGACAAAUCCUAUUAUACCGUCUAUGACAUGGACC